GGCCAAUCAGGUGAUCGUUCAAACUCCUAAACUUCAAGUUGAAAUGUAACUGGACCAUGAGUCCGACAAAAUGCGCGUUGGUCGAUCAUGUUAAAAAAUACUUUUAGUAACCCUUUUGGAUUUUAAUACCAUCUAUAUGCUGACAAUACUCAGAUUUACCGCUUCACCUCUGACCUCUCUCCUGCCAUCUUGUAACAUAUCACAAAGUGCCUCUUUUCCAUCUCUAACUGGUUUUCUUCCCAUUUUCUAAAACGUAAUCUCUCCAAAACUGAACUUAUCGUUCCACCCUGAAAUGGUCCUAUUACAUACGUCUACUUGCUUGCAAAUGGGAUAAUUAUUAUCCCAACCCCUCAAGUCUUGGAGUUACUUUUGACUCAGGUCACAUGCAGUCUGUCUCCAAAUCCUGUAACUUCCACCUUAAAUAUAUUGCCAGCAUUCAACCUUUUCUAACUGAAGAUACAACUAAGGCACUCAUCAUUACUCAACUUGACUAUUGCAACUCACUACUCAUUGGCCUUCCAAAUACUGCUUUGUCACUCUUUAGUCUGUAAUGAAUGCUGCCACAAGGCUCAUCUUCCUGAAUGACUGCUACUCCUACACCUUACCUAUUUGUCAACACUUACAUUGGCUUCCUGUACCCUUCAGGAUCCAGUUAAAAUAAAUAACACUAACCUACAAGGCCCUCAAUAACUCAACUCUGUAAUAUCUUUCCUUUUUACUCAACAAAUAUGCCCCUUUGCUCUGUGAGUGACCUUCAUGUGACAUCUGCUUGUUCCCACACUGCCAACUCACAUGUGCAGGAUUUUUAAAGGGCUAAAGUAUUACGAUGGAAUUCCCUACCCCAUACUAUCAGACUCUAGUCCCUAAAAACAUCUCUCUUAAUGAAAUCCUACUAUCUUCCAGGAUGAUGCUCCUCUCACUGCAAUUGCCCUCUUCAGUGUUCUCACCACUGUAGCCCAGCUCACUCUCUCUCUCCUUCCACUGUUUUGUUCUUCCACACACUACUUAUACUAGCUAAUUUUGACAAAGGAUUUUAUCCAUCAAUUCCUUCUCCCCUCUGUAAUGCUGUUGUUUCUCUGGUGUGUCUUUAUCCCUUCCUUAUAGAUUGUAAGCUUGUUUGCGAAGGCCCUUCUGCACCUCUUGCCUCUGUCAAUAUUAUGUCAAU